rnacentral:rRNA from 1 species
UACGGAGGGUGCAAGCGUUAUCCGGAUUCACUGGGUUAAAGGGUGCGUAGGAGGACAGGUAAGUCAGUGGUGAAAUUUCCGAGCUUAACUUGGAACUGCCGUUGAUACUAUCUGCCUUGAAUAUUGUGGAGGUGAGCGGAAUAUGUCAUGUAGCGGUGAAAUGCUUAGAGAUUACAUGGAAUACCAAUUGCGAAGGCAGGUUACUACUAAUGGAUUGACGCUGAUGGACGAAAGCGUGGGUAGCGAACAGG